rnacentral:rRNA from 1 species
GCUUAGAGUUUGAUCCUGGCUCAGGAUGAACGCUGGCGGCGUGCUUAACACAUGCAAGUCGAACGGUCUCUUCGGAGAUAGUGGCGGACGGGUGAGUAACGCGUGAGAAUCUGCCUUUAGGUUCGGGACAACAGUUGGAAACGACUGCUAAUACCGAAUGUGUCGCAAGAUGAAAGAUUUAUUGCCUAAAGAUGAGCUCGCGUCUGAUUAGCUAGUUGGUGGGGUAAAAGCGUACCAAGGCGACGAUCAGUAGCUGGUCUGAGAGGAUGAUCAGCCACACUGGGACUGAGACACGGCCCAGACUCCUACGGGAGGCAGCAGUGGGGAAUUUUCCGCAAUGGGCGAAAGCCUGACGGAGCAACGCCGCGUGAGGGAGGAAGGCUUUUGGGUUGUAAACCUCUUUUAUCAAGGAAGAUAAUGACGGUACUUGAUGAAUCAGCAUCGGCUAACUCCGUGCCAGCAGCCGCGGUAAUACGGAGGAUGCAAGCGUUAUCCGGAAUAAUUGGGCGUAAAGCGUUCGUAGGUGGUUUUGCAAGUCUGCUGUUAAAGCGUGUAGCUUAACUACAUAAUGGCGGUGGAAACUGCAAAACUAGAGUGCGUUCGGGGCAGAGGGAAUUCCUGGUGUAGCGGUGAAAUGC